rnacentral:rRNA from 1 species
GUGGAGCCUGCGGCUUAAUUUGACUCAACACGGGAAACCUCACCAGGCCCGGACACCAGAAGGAUUGACAGAUUAAGAGCUCUUUCUCGAUUUGGUGGGUGGUGGUGCAUGGCCGUUCUUAGUUGGUGGAGUGAUUUGUCUGGUUAAUUCCGGUAACGAACGAGACUCUGGCCUACUAAAUAGUCGACGGGCGUUUUGGUGCAUGGGCCCCGUUCGACACAGUCUUCUUAGAGGGAUGAGCAGCGAGUAUAGCUGCAGGAGAUUGAGCAAUAACAGGUCUGUGAUGCCCUUAGAUGUCCUGGGCCGCACGCGCGCUACACUGAAUGGGUUAGCGGGUUGUCCUUCUCCGAGAGGAGCGGGAAAUCGCUUGAAAACCAUUCGUGAUAGGGAUUGGGGCUUGCAAUUGUUUCCCAUGAACGAGGAAUUCCCAGUAAGCGCAAGUCAUCAGCUUGCGUUGAUUAAGUCCCUGCCCUUUGUACACACCGCCCGUCGCUACUACCGAUUGAAUGAUUUAGUGAGGCCUUCGGACUGGCGGUCUUGGACUGGGGCGCCGGCGUCUUCCAGCAAUGGGGACUCGGCGACCCGCCUAGACGGGCCGGAAAGAUGUCCAAACUUGAUCAUUUAGAGGAAGUAAAAGUCGUAACAAGGUUUCC